UCAAGCGCGAGAAGGGCGUUUGGUGGAUGCCUUGGCAGUAAGAGGCGAUGAAGGACGUGAUACUCUGCGAUAAGCUUUGGGAAGUCGAGAAUAGACGCUAUACCCAAAGAUCUCCGAAUGGGGCAACCCAACUGAUACUUUGUUAUUGUUACACUUUUGUGUAAUCAAUAAUGGGGUAAAACAGUUAUUAAUUACCUGAAUACAUAGGGUUUUUAAAGCAAACCUGGGGAACUGAAACAUCUAAGUACCCAGAGGAAAGGAAAUCAAUAGAUACUCCCGUAGUAGUGGCGAGCGAACCGGGACCAGCCGAGCGAUGAAUGUGACUAGAACCAGUUGGAAAGCUGGGCAAUAUGGGUGACAGCCCCGUAUAGGAAGCAUGAUUUGACGUAUUAAGUAGGGCGGAACACGUGAAAUUCUGUCUGAACAUGGGGGGACCACCCUCUAAGGCUAAGUACUCCUUACUGACCGAUAGCGAACCAGUACCGUGAGGGAAAGGUGAAAAGCACCCCGACGAGGGGAGUGAAACAGUUUCUGAAACCGGACGCCUACAAACAGUUGGAGCCUCUUUAUGGGGUGACAGCGUACCUUUUGUAUAAUGGGUCAACGACUUGGUCUUACUAGCAAGCUUAAGCCGAUAGGUGUAGGCGCAGCGAAAGCGAGUCUUAAUAGGGCGAAUGAGUUAGUAGGAUCAGACCCGAAACCGAGUGAUCUAGGCAUGAGCAGGUUGAAGGUAAGGUAACACUUACUGGAGGACCGAACCCACAUCUGUUGAAAAAGAUCGGGAUGACUUGUGCCUAGGGGUGAAAGGCCAAUCAAACUCGGAGAUAGCUGGUUCUCCGCGAAAUCUAUUUAGGUAGAGCGUCGCACGAAUACCUUGGGGGGUAGAGCACUGAAUGGGUAAUGGGGACUCACCGUCUUACUGAUCCUAAUCAAACUCCGAAUACCCAAGAGUAAUAUGCGGCAGACACACUGCGGAUGCUAACGUCCGUAGUGGAGAGGGAAACAACCCUGACCCUCAGCUAAGGCCCCUAAUUCAUGGCUAAGUGGGAAAGCAGGUGGGACGACCAAAACAACCAGGAGGUUGGCUUAGAAGCAGCCAUCCUUUAAAGAUAGCGUAACAGCUCACUGGUCUAAAUAAGUUGUCUUGCGGCGAAGAUGUAACGGGGCUCAAGCCAUGAGCCGAAGCUUAGGAUGCAUUUAUUGCAUGGUAGCAGAGCGUAGUGUGACAUAGUUCCAUGUCUCCUUAGCCCUUCGGGGUAUUGGAGACGCGGAGCUUUCUGUGAAGCGGGCCUGUGAGGGAUCCCGUGGAGAGAUCACUAGUGAGAAUGAUGACAUGAGUAGCGACAAAGAGUGUGAGAGACACUCUCGCCGAAAAUCCAAGGGUUCCUGCUUAAAGCUAAUCUGAGCAGGGUAAGCCGACCCCUAAGGCGAGGCCGAAAGGCGUAGUCGAUGGGAACCAGGUUAAUAUUCCUGGGCCAGAUGGAAGUGACGGAUCUCGAGGGUAGUUCAUCCUUAUCGGAUUGAAUGGGCUGCUUAGAGGUCCCUGGAAAUAGCUCCAUCGCUAGAUCGUACCCUAAACCGACACAGGUGGAUAGGUAGAGAAUACCAAGGCGCUUGAGAGAACUAUGUUGAAGGAACUCGGCAAAAUACCUCCGUAAGUUCGCGAGAAGGAGGCCCGGUUUCUAGGCAACUAGAGGCUGGGGGCACAAACCAGGGGGUGGCGACUGUUUAUUAAAAACACAGGGCUCUGCGAAGUCGUAAGACGACGUAUAGGGUCUGACGCCUGCCCGGUGCCUGAAGGUUAAAAGGAGGGGUGAGAGCUCUGAAUUGAAGCCCAGGUAAACGGCGGCCGUAACUAUAACGGUCCUAAGGUAGCGAAAUUCCUUGUCGGG
rnacentral:rRNA from 1 species